GACGAACGCUGGCGGCGUGCUUAACACAUGCAAGUCGAACGAAGUGGCGAACGGGUGAGUAACGCGUAAUCAACCUGCCCUUCAGAGGGGGACAACAGUUGGAAACGACUUCUAAUACCGCAUACUGACGUCGGGGAUUGCGUCUGAUUAGCUAGUUGGUGGGGUAACGGCCCACCAAGGCUAUGAUCAGUAGCCGGUCUGAGAGGAUGAGCGGCAACAUUGUGACUGAGACACGGCCCAGACGCCUACGGGAGGCAGCAGUGGGGAAGCUUCCGCAAUGGACGAAAGUCUGACGGAGCAACGCCGCGUGAGUGAUGACGGCCUUCGGGUUGUAAAGCUCUGUUAAUCGGGACGCGGUACCGGAAUAGAAAGCCACGGCUAACUACGUGCCAGCCGCCGCGGUAAUAC
rnacentral:rRNA from 1 species